CCUACGGGAGGCAGCAGUAGGGAAUUUUCGUCAAUGGGGGAAACCCUGAACGAGCAAUGCCGCGUGAGUGAAGAAGGUCUUCGGAUCGUAAAGCUCUGUUGUAAGUGAAGAACGGCUCAUAGAGGAAAUGCUAUGGGAGUGACGGUAGCUUACCAGAAAGCCACGGCUAACUACGUGCCAGCAGCCGCGGUAAUACGUAGGUGGCAAGCGUUAUCCGGAAUCAUUGGGCGUAAAGGGUGCGUAGGUGGCGUACUAAGUCUGUAGUAAAAGGCAAUGGCUCAACCAUUGUAAGCUAUGGAAACUGGUAUGCUGGAGUGCAGAAGAGGGCGAUGGAAUUCCAUGUGUAGCGGUAAAAUGCGUAGAUAUAUGGAGGAACACCAGUGGCGAAGGCGGUCGCCUGGUCUGUAACUGACACUGAGGCACG
rnacentral:rRNA from 1 species